UGGGUCUUAAAUAACUUUGCUAUGUUUCUCCUAUCCGAGGCGUCAGCGCUCGAAAAACAUGCGCAAAACGCCCCUUUUCUGAACCGCAUAUACACGGCUUUAAAACACCCGUAUCGCCAGGAAAGCGGCUUCACGGAGGGGGGAGGAAAGCAGACGAGCAGGCGCAGCCGGCCGUGUCCCUCAGCGCCAGCUUUGAUGUGAGGCCGGAUAGAGGCGCUCAAUUAAAAGCCCAUCAAUGUCCCACGGUCAGCGCCGCGCGGCGCGGCGGAAAACCCGGACUGGAGCCCCGGAGCACGGAUCCGGAGCUGGCUGACCGACAACAGGCAAAGUGACUGAGCUCCACAUCAGCUGCUGGAAGCCUAAUAUGUGGAGAAGCCCAAGAUCAGGACCAAGACUGAGACCAGGACUAAGACCAAGAUCAGGACCAGGACUGAGACCAGGAACAGGACCAGGAC